rnacentral:lncRNA from 1 species
CUGCUGCAUUGCUUUCACCAUAUUUCUUAAAAUGCAAGCAUAUCCUUCCCCUACUGUCUACCUGGAGAACAGAUUUCUUUCUGACAGUGUCUGAUGUGUGCAUUUUACACCCUGUGUCACACUGGCAGCUUUCCAGGCCUGUGAUCUCAGGGGAUGUUUGAGGCCCAGGAGAGGCCAGUGGUCUCUGUUCCCUUUGCAGUCUGGAACUGGAAGGGAUUACUGAGGUGGGGAAGGCUGAGAGCUGCUGUUACCAUGGACACGGUGGCCGUGGGGACCGGAAACCACCGACUAGCCACAGAGAAGAGCCGUGAACUCCAUUGUCACGGGUGCCAUGGGGGACCCUGGGUGGAGGGGCAUGAGCUGGGGCCCCAGGCAGCUUCGAGAAGGAGCCUUUCGGAAAGGGAACAUAAAAGUCACUGGAAAGUUCCGGCUCCUGCCACCGUCGGGCCUCUUUUGAGGCUCCACGCACGACUCAUUUGUCACCAGAGAGUUGAUCUGAAGAACAAUGGACCUGUGCACGACGCUUUGAAUCGGGCAGGAAGAACCCUCUAG